CUCAUAUAUUUAAUCAAAAGAAAGACUUUGACAAGGCCAUGAAUUCUCUAAUUAACCACUUAUAUCUGUAAGAAAAUACUCUCCUUGUUGCAACUGAAUAUUAUGAACUAAUUUUAACAUAUUUUUACAGGGAAGCAUAUUUUGAAAUCAAGUCUCCAAAAGGCCAAUCCUCUAAAGAGAAAGAUCAGCUAAGUCAAUUUUGGAACUAUAAAACAUCCAAUACUUCUACCAC
rnacentral:lncRNA from 1 species